rnacentral:rRNA from 1 species
GGACGAACGCUGGCGGCGUGCUUAACACAUGCAAGUCGAGCGGUAAGGCCCUUUCGGGGUACACGAGCGGCGAACGGGUGAGUAACACGUGGGUGACCUGCCCUCAGCUCUGGGAUAAGCCUGGGAAACUGGGUCUAAUACUGGAUAUGACUCCACGGUGCAUGUCGUGGGGUGAAAGCCUUGUGCGGCUGAGGAUGGGCCCGCGGCCUAUCAGCUUGUUGGUGGGGGAUGGCCUACCAAGGCGACGACGGGUAGCCGGCCUGAGAGGGCGACCGGCCACACUGGGACUGAGACACGGCCCAGACUCCUACGGGAGGCAGCAGUGGGGAAUCUUGCGCAAUGGGCGAAAGCCUGACGCAGCGACGCCGCGUGAGGGAUGAC